GACGAACGCUGGCGGCGUGCCUAAUACAUGCAAGUCGAACGCAGUGGGGCCGGGUGAGCAACACGUGGGUAACCUCCCUUCAGAGGGGAUAACACUUGGAAACAGGUGCUAAACCGAUACUGAUGGAUGGUCCCGCGGUGCAUUAGCUAGUUGGUGGGGGAACGGCUCACCAAGGCCACGAUGCAUAGCGGACCUGAGAGGAGGAUCGGCCACACUGGAACUGAGACACGGCCCAGACUCCUACGGGAGGCAGCAGUAGGGAAUCUUCGGCAAUGGACGAAAGUCUGACCGAGCAACGCCGCGUGAGUGAAGAAGGUUUUCGGAUCGUAAAACUCUGUUGUUAGAGAAGCGGUAUCUAACCAGAAAGCCACGGCUAACUACGUGCCAGCCGCCGCGGUAAUAC
rnacentral:rRNA from 1 species